rnacentral:rRNA from 1 species
UACGUAGGGAGCAAGCGUUGUCCGGAAUCAUUGGGCGUAAAGCGCGCGUAGGCGGCCCUGUAAGUCCGUUGUGAAAGUCAAAGGCUCAACCUUUGAAAGCCGAUGGAUACUGCAGGGCUAGAGUCCGGAAGAGGCGAGUGGAAUUCCUGGUGUAGCGGUGGAAUGCGCAGAUAUCAGGAGGAACACCGAUGGCGAAGGCAGGUCUCUGGGCCGAUACUGACGCUGAGGAGCGAAAGCGUGGGGAGCGAACAGG